GAUGGAAAAUGAAGCAAAACUAUCCUAUACACUGAACCAGAUGUAGACCACAACUCCGCUUAUUAUCUGAUUCCUUC